rnacentral:tRNA from 1 species
GGAGCAGUGGCGGAAAUGGCAGACGCUUCGCGGGUAAAUUGAUACAUGCAGGUUCGACUCCUGCCUGCUCCA